UACGUAGGGUGCGAGCGUUGUCCGGAAUUAUUGGGCGUAAAGGGCUCGUAGGCGGUUUGUCGCGUCGGGAGUGAAAUCAUCUGGCUUAACUGGGUGCUUGCUUUCGAUACGGGCAGACUAGAGGUAUGGCAGGGGAGAACGGAAUUCCUGGUGUAGCGGUGAAAUGCGCAGAUAUCAGGAGGAACACCGGUGGCGAAGGCGGUUCUCUGGGCCGAAAUUGACGCUGAGGAGCGAAAGCGUGGGGAGCAAACAGG
rnacentral:rRNA from 1 species